rnacentral:antisense_RNA from 1 species
CAUCUUUUGAUUUAUACAAUGUACGGUAUUUAAUUCUUACACAUACAGGUCU